GGGGCGUAGCUGAGUUGAAAUAAAGUGCAAGCAUAUAUCGCAGAGCGGAGCGAGACGAAAUUUUUUUUGGACCAUUUUAUGAUGAAAAUGAUAAAUACCCUAUCUGUUUCUUACUAUACCAUAUUUCAAGAAACGAUAGUAACAUCCUAGUGGGUUUCGUAAUUUGGAAACCCGGGAACAGAUAAGACACAAAAUGACAAGCAAAAACUUUCAACAUUGAAAACUAACUACAGAUGAAAAACACGGACGAAUUAGAUAAAACGUUUUGGCUUUCGUUAUCCGCUGCCUUCUUGCUAAAAUAAAAAUCUAGCUUCUUCAUUUUUAUUUUGAUUUCUACCGGGGUUAAACUUUGUGUCGUGAUUGUAGUUGCAAGUACAGACACCGCCAGACACGAUAAUCCGGAAAGACUAAAGACUAUCCGAAAUUCAAUUUCAGGAUUUUUUUUUUUUUUUUUUUGUGAAAAACAUGUGCAAGCAAAUGAUUUUUUGCGUAAAGGCAGCUACGCGCCUGCAAUGUAUA
rnacentral:lncRNA from 1 species